GCUACGGGGGGCAGCAGUCGAGAAUCAUUCACAAUGGGGGAAACCCUGAUGGUGCGACGCCGCGUGGGGGAAUGAAGGUCUGCGGAUUGUAAACCCCUGUCAUGUGGGAGCAAAUUAAAAAGAUAGUACCACAAGAGGAAGAGACGGCUAACUCGGUGCCAGCAGCCGCGGGAAUACAGAGGGAUCAAGCGUUUUUCGGAACCACUGGGCGUAAAGCGUGCGUAGGCUGUUUCGUAAGUCGUGUGUGAAAGGCGCGGGCUCAACCCGCGGACGGCACCUGAUACUGCGCGACUAGAGUAAUGGCGUGGGAACCGGAAUUCUCGGUGUAGCCGUGAAAUGCGUAGAUAUCGCGAGGCACACUCGUGGCGAAGGCGGGUUCCUGGACAUUAACUGCCGCUGAGGCACGAAGGCCAGGGGAGCGAACUGGAUUAGAUACCCGAGUAGUC
rnacentral:rRNA from 1 species